UACGGAAGGCAGCAGUGGGGAAUAUUGCACAAUGGGCGCAAGCCUGAUGCAGCCAUGCCGCGUGUAUGAAGAAGGCCUUCGGGUUGUAAAGUACUUUCAGUCGUGAGGAAGGUGUUAAGGUUAAUAACCUUAGCAAUUGACGUUAGCGACAGAAGAAGCACCGGCUAACUCCGUGCCAGCAGCCGCGGUAAUACGGAGGGUGCGAGCGUUAAUCGGAAUUACUGGGCGUAAAGGGCACGCAGGCGGUUAAUUAAGUUGGAUGUGAAAUCCCCGGGCUUAACCUGGGAAUGGCAUUCAAGACUGGUUAGCUAGAGUCUUGUAGAGGGGGUAGAAUUCCAUGUGUAGCGGUGAAAUGCGUAGAGAUGUGGAGGAAAUACCGGUGGCGAAGGCGGCCCCCUGGACAAAGGACUGACGCUCAUGUGCGAAAGCGUGGGGAGGCAAACAGGGAUUAGAU
rnacentral:rRNA from 1 species